rnacentral:tRNA from 1 species
CGCGUGCAAACUGUGAUUGGGCUCAUAACCCGAAGGUCGUUGGUUCAAAUCCAACCCCCGCAACCA